UACGUAGGGUGCAAGCGUUAUCCGGAAUUAUUGGGCGUAAAGAGCUCGUAGGCGGUUUGUCGCGUCUGCUGUGAAAACUGGGGGCUCAACCUCCAGCCUGCAGUGGGUACGGGCAAACUAGAGUGCGGUAGGGGAGAUUGGAAUUCCUGGUGUAGCGGUGGAAUGCGCAGAUAUCAGGAGGAACACCGAUGGCGAAGGCAGGUCUCUGGGCAUUAACUGACGCUGAGGAGCGAAAGCAUGGGGAGCGAACAGG
rnacentral:rRNA from 1 species